rnacentral:lncRNA from 1 species
AAAGUUAUUUAAAUUUUAACCAGGUGCUCCGCAAGGCGCAGCUUUAUACGACCGCAGAGGUCGAACCCUGAACAGUUGGGGCAAGUAUGGACAAAACAUUCAAGCGUGAUACAGCUCUGAAUUUGGAUUGUGAUAAAAUUUUUGACAUUACAUGGGUUUUUUUUACACAAAACAAAUGUCAAGAUUUUACAAAUCAAUUAAAGAUUUCUUCAAACUUUUUAAAUCUAAAAUUAAAUAGUUGACACAGCAUAGGUUUCUGACACAGAAUGAAUGUGGUCUAAUGAACUUAAAAAGUUUUUUUUUUGCCUUUGAGCAAUUCACUAUGCUGUUGAAUAUUAAUCCUCUCAAAAAAAUGUUUGAAGAAAUUUUCUUUUUAUUUAUGAAAUCUGAAAUGAGAAAAAUUUAACCCCCCUUUUUUUCACAUCCCCGUUUCCCUUUUUCCAAAACUGAUAUCAAUUCAAAUUUCUAAUGGAGUUUGCAACAAUAACUACUCUUUUAAAUACAUCAUAAAAUAUUAAAAUGUAAAAUAAAGUGCUUGUUAUCACUGAAUGGUAAAGAUUGGUUGGUAGUAAAAGUGAAUAUACA